UCGAGCGGUAGAGAGAAGCUUGCUUCUCUUGAGAGCGGCGGACGGGUGAGUAAAGCCUAGGAAUCUGCCUGGUAGUGGGGGAUAACGUUCGGAAACGGACGCUAAUACCGCAUACGUCCUACGGGAGAAAGCAGGGGACCUUCGGGCCUUGCGCUAUCAGAUGAGCCUAGGUCGGAUUAGCUAGUUGGUGAGGUAAUGGCUCACCAAGGCGACGAUCCGUAACUGGUCUGAGAGGAUGAUCAGUCACACUGGAACUGAGACACGGUCCAGACUCCUACGGGAGGCAGCAGUGGGGAAUAUUGGACAAUGGGCGAAAGCCUGAUCCAGCCAUGCCGCGUGUGUGAAGAAGGUCUUCGGAUUGUAAAGCACUUUAAGUUGGGAGGAAGGGCAUUAACCUAAUACGUUAGUGUUUUGACGUUACCGACAGAAUAAGCACCGGCUAACUCUGUGCCAGCAGCCGCGGUAAUACAGAGGGUGCAAGCGUUAAUCGGAAUUACUGGGCGUAAAGCGCGCGUAGGUGGUUUGUUAAGUUGGAUGUGAAAUCCCCGGGCUCAACCUGGGAACUGCAUUCAAAACUGACUGACUAGAGUAUGGUAGAGGGUGGUGGAAUUUCCUGUGUAGCGGUGAAAUGCGUAGAUAUAGGAAGGAACACCAGUGGCGAAGGCGACCACCUGGACUAAUACUGACACUGAGGUGCGAAAGCGUGGGGAGCAACAGGAUUAGAUACCCUGGUAGUCCACGCCGUAAACGAUGUCAACUAGCCGUUGGGAGCCUUGAGCUCUUAGUGGCGCAGCUAACGCAUUAGGUUGACCGCCUGGUGAGUACGGCCGCAAGGUUAAACUC
rnacentral:rRNA from 1 species